UACGAAGGGGGCUAGCGUUGCUCGGAAUUACUGGGCGUAAAGCGCACGUAGGCGGUCUUUUAAGUCGGGGGUGAAAUCCUGGAGCUCAACUCCAGAACUGCCUUCGAUACUGGAAGACUUGAGUCCGGGAGAGGUGAGUGGAACUGCGAGUGUAGAGGUGAAAUUCGUAGAUAUUCGCAAGAACACCAGUGGCGAAGGCGGCUCACUGGCCCGGUACUGACGCUCAUGCACGAAAGCGUGGGGAGCAAACAGG
rnacentral:rRNA from 1 species